GUUUAUGGCCAUACCACCCUGAUCUCAUCUGAUCUCAGAAGCUAAGCAGGGCUGGGCCCGGUUAGUACUUAGAUGGGAGAAAGAAGUCAUCUGUUUAUC
rnacentral:rRNA from 1 species